GAUGAACGCUGGCGGCGUGCUUAACACAUGCAAGUCGAACGGUAAGGCCCUUCGGGGUACACGAGUGGCGAACGGGUGAGUAACACGUGGGUGAUCUGCCCUGCACUUCGGGAUAAGCCUGGGAAACUGGGUCUAAUACCGGAUAGGACCACUGCCUGCAUGGGUGGUGGGGGAAAGCUUUUGCGGUGUGGGAUGGGCCCGCGGCCUAUCAGCUUGUUGGUGGGGUGAUGGCCCACCAAGGCGACGACGGGUAGCCGGCCUGAGAGGGUGACCGGCCACACUGGGACUGAGAUACGGCCCAGACUCCUACGGGAGGCAGCAGUGGGGAAUAUUGCACAAUGGGCGCAAGCCUGAUGCAGCGACGCCGCGUGAGGGAUGACGGCCUUUGGGUUGUAAACCUCUUUCAGCACCGACGAAGCGCAAGUGACGGUAGGUGCAGAAGAAGGACCGGCCAACUACGUGCCAGCAGCCGCGGUAA
rnacentral:rRNA from 1 species